AAGAACGAGCUCCACAUGUCACCUCGGUGCGCGUUCGUUCUCUCCCGGAGAAGCCAAGAAGAACAACUUGACACUCUGCGAGUCACUAUAUCUGUACAGCUCUUGAAGAGGCACGUCGUGCCGUGCUCCGCACAGCUAGUUAGCAAACGUUCCUUGCUUCCCUCUUGGACUCCAGCAUCUCUUCUGUGUAGCAUCUACUGACCCUGCUAUACUAUAGUGACGCGGCGACUCGCUGUCCUGACUUUUGUGUUUCGCUUUACAGUUCGCUGCCUCGUCGUGUCUGUUGAAUGUAAAUUACGCGUUAUUUGUUAUUUGUAUCAUUUUCAUUUUGCUAGUGCAGUCUGAUCGCGUCGGACGAUUGGGUGUGACCUAAUAGAGCCUAAGGAUAAAACUGGUUCGAUUGUUACGUAUACUCCCUCCGCUUUUUGACGUAAUAGUGCCCUCUGGAAAUUCGUUGAUUCAACGGUGGCUUUGGAACUUUUCGUUGAAAAAACAAACAAAACAACUGACAACCGAAUUAAAAAGAAGAGCUUUCAAAAAGUAUAUAGACACUGUAAACAAUUGAGUGGAACUAUAUUGGCAACUCUUCGGAAUCCAAUGACUGUUGAAGUUAUUUAGCGAGUAUAGUCGUCAGUGCUGACCUUUAGUUCUUAUAUAUGUGGGCUCAAAAGAAAAUGAGGCAGAACGUGAUGAAAUCCGACCGAAGGUGGUUGCCUAUUGCGAAGAGGACCAGUUGGAUCACGCCCACGAUAUGGUGGUUGAUCUGGACAAGUCUGCAGAGCUCAACUUCGUGGACGACUUUGGGAAGUAUUGUUAUGGUUGGCAGUGGUAAUAGCGGAAGCAACAUGCACAAUUUCAACGCAACACAAACCAAAUCAAAUUUCGUCGCCUCGGGACGGCGAUGGGAUUCAAACGAAACAGAACCAAAGAUUAACACCGUCAUCACCGCCCAAUCGGGAGAUACAGCUUUUCUUCCUUGUCAUGUGGCGCUAAGAGAGGAUCAUGGUGUAUCUUGGGUACGUCGGCGGGAUUGGUAUAUUUUGAGUGCAGACUCUAAAGUAUAUUCAAGAGACGAGAGAAUUCGCGUUACUUCGGUGGACAAUACCGAAAACACUUGGACGUUGCUCAUAAAAUACAUAAGAAAAGACGACGAGGGUAUCUAUGAUUGUCAGAUCACGACUAGGAAAUCCGCAUGGACCCAGUCUGUCGAAUUACGAAUUGUUGAACCACAAGCUGUGCUAGUCGGGUCUGAAGAUAUAUAUGUUGGUGUCGGGAGUCCUUUUACAGUCACGUGCGUUAUUACGAAUACCUUGAAACCGCCGGAGUAUGUCUCAUGGAACUUUGACUCCAAAUCUCUAAAUUUUGGAAGUCAUGAGCAAUUCCAGCAGCCAUCCAAUUUACAAAAAAAUGGAACAGAGCAGGUCAUACAAUAACAUUUGAUCCUGGGCCUCCAUCCGUUAGUCGAUUACUUGUGAAUAGUGCCAACACUUCUGAUUCAGGUCGUUAUACCUGCCAGCCCUCCAGUGGACUUUCAGCAUCUACAAACGUUCAUGUUGCACUAGGUAAUGAAAUGGCUGCUAUCCAGGCGACCGAUACAGCUUGCAGGAACGGAAAUUUUCUCUUGGUUAUGUUAACAGUUUCGGUAUUAUUUCCUUUAUGUUUUGGCCUUAUGUUGUAGCAUCAGAGCCAGUUGUACAAAAAAUCACGUAUCUAUUUAGACGUUUUCUUUACGUUGAUGUCAGGUAAUUAUGAUCCAAAUCUAAUAAAAAAUUUUAGCAUGGCGUUGUAUUAUUGGGACCAAAAAUGAUAACAUAAAUAGAUUGCUAAAGUUAUAUUAACUAAUACAAUUUGUGAAAUACG
rnacentral:sRNA from 1 species